CCCCCUAAUCUUAACCGGGGCCCGGCUUGCCCUUGAACAAGUUUUAAGGGGCGGGGAACCCUAACCGUGCGAGAGGGAGCGCAAUCUACUUGUUCUUUAAAUGAGGACUAGGAUGAACAGGCAUCACGAGGGUUAUGCUGUCUCCCCACUCUAUUCAGUGAAACUGAUCUCCCCGUGAAGAAGCGGGGAUAAAAAUAUAAGACAGAGAAGACCCCAUGGAGGUUUAAACUCAGGAUCAACUGCUUAACAAAUUAACCUAACAUUUAUGCAACUCUGACUACUAGUUUUCGGUUGGGGUGACCACGGAGAAUAAAAACAACCUCCACGACGAAAGGAAGUAAUAACCUAAAUUAAGAGUUACGACUCUAAACAUCAACAAAUUGACUAAAUUGAUCCAAUAAAUUGAUCAACGAACCAAGUUACCCUGGGGAUAACAGCGCAAUCCAUUUCAAGAGCUCAUAUCGACAAAUGGGUUUACGACCUCGAUGUUGGAUCAGGGAUAUCCCAGUGGCGCAGCGCUACUAAUGGUGUCGUUUGUUCAACGAUUAAAACCCUACGUGAUCUGAGUGCAGACCGGCCU
rnacentral:rRNA from 1 species